GACGUAGGGCGCAAGCGUUGUCCGGAUUUAUUGGGCGUAAAGGGCGUGUAGGCGGUCGGCCAAGUCUGAUGUGAAAGCCCGAGGCUCAGCCUCGGAAGUGCGUCGGAAACUAGUCGGCUGGAGCGCGAUAGAGGAGGGUGGAAUUCCUGGUGUAGCGGUGAAAUGCGUAGAUAUCAGGAGGAACACCGGCGGCGAAGGCGGCCCUCUGGAUCGUUGCUGACGCUGAGACGCGAAAGCGUGGGGAGCAAACAGG
rnacentral:rRNA from 1 species